AGUGGCAAACGGGUGAGUAGCGCGUGGGAAUAUACCUAGCAGACUGGGAUAGUUCUUGGAAACGAGGGGUAACACCAGAUAACACUCGCAAGAGGAAAAGAGAAAUCUGCUGUUAGAUUAGCCCGCGAUAGAUUAGGUAGUUGGUGGGAUAAAAGCCUACCAAGCCUGCGAUCUAUAGCUGGUCUGAGAGGAUGACCAGCCACACUGGGACUGAGAUACGGCCCAGACUCCUAUGGGAGGCAGCAGUGGGGAAUAUUGGACAAUGAGCGAAAGCUUGAUCCAGCAAUACCGCGUGAGUGAUGAAGGCCCUUGGGUUGUAAAGCUCUUUCACUGGGGAAGAUAAUGACGGUACCCAGAUAAGAAGCCCCGGCAAACUCCGUGCCAGCAGCCGCGGUAAUACGGAGGGGGCUAGUGUUGUUCGGAAUUACUGGGCGUAAAGAGCAUGUAGGCGGUAUAACAAGUCAGAGGUGAAAUCCUGGAGCUUAACUCCAGAACUGCUUCUGAAACUGGUGUGCUAGAGUAUGAUAGAGGGUGAGAGAAUUCCUAGUGUAGAGGUGAAAUUCUUAGAUAUUAGGAGGAAUACCGAAAGCGAAAGCAAUCAUCUGGGUCAUAACUGACGCUGAGAUGCGAAAGCGUGGGGAGCAAACAGGAUUAGAUACCCUGGUAGUCCACGCAGUAAACGAUGAGUGCUAAAUAUUGGGUAACAACUCAGUUUUACAGCUAACGCGUUAAGCACUCCGCCUGGGGAGUACGGCCGCAAGGCUAAAACUCAAAGGAAUUGACGGGGGCUCGCACAAGCGGUGGAGCAUGCGGUUUAAUUCGAUGCUACGCGAAAAACCUUACCAACCCUUGACAUGUUAGUUAAAAGCUCUAGAGAUAGGCUUGUCAGCUUGGCUGGACUAACACAGGUGUUGCAUGGCCGUCGUCAGCUCGUGUCGUGAGAUGUUAGGUUAAGUCCUGCAACGAGCGCAACCCUUAUCUUUAUUUGCCAUCAUUCAGUUGGGGACUAUAAAGAGACCGCCUGUGGUAAGCAGGAGGAAGGUGGGGAUGAGGUCAGGUAUCAUGGCCCUUAUGGGUUGGGCUACACGCGUGCUACAAUGGUGUCUACAAAGAGAAGCAAAACUGUGAAGUGGAGUAAAUCUCAAAAAAGACGCCUCAGUUCGGAUUGCACUCUGCAACUCGGGUGCAUGAAGUUGGAAUCGCUAGUAAUCGCGGAUCAGCAUGCCGCGGUGAAUACGUUCUCGGGCCUUGUACACACUGCCCGUCA
rnacentral:rRNA from 1 species